AAAAAAAGAACUAAGAUACCAAAAUUGUUAUCAAAUAUUUAUUAUUCAUAAUAAUUAAUUUUCAUAUAUACGUUAAUCAUAUUAGGUAAUUUCGUAGCUUCUAAUUAAGGAAAGUGCAAAAAAAUUUUUGGUAGAUUAUUUAUCAAUUCGAUAGUUAGUUUAAUAAAAAAAUAUAAUGUAAGUCAAGAUGGACCAACCUAUUUUUCUAAGAAUAGUAUAUUUUAUAUAGUCAUUUAUUAAAUGAGAAUUUAUAAUCAUACAGUUCUAUGAUCAUUCAUAUCAUUUUAUAACUGAAUAUUUAAAUCAUCGAUAACAAAAUUUUC
rnacentral:lncRNA from 1 species